AUUGAACGCUGGCGGCAGGCUUAACACAUGCAAGUCGAGCGGGGGAGGGUAGCUUGCUACCUAACCUAGCGGCGGACGGGUGAGUAAUGCUUAGGAAUCUGCCUAUUAGUGGGGGACAACAUUUCGAAAGGGAUGCUAAUACCGCAUACGCCCUAAGGGGGAAAGCAGGGGAUCUUCGGACCUUGCGCUAAUAGAUGAGCCUAAGUCGGAUUAGCUAGUUGGUGGGGUAAGGCCUACCAAGGCGACGAUCUGUAGCGGGUCUGAGAGGAUGAUCCGCCACACGGGGACUGAGACACGGCCCAGACUCCUACGGGAGGCAGCAGUGGGGAAUAUUGGACAAUGGGGGGAACCCUGAUCCAGCCAUGCCGCGUGUGUGAAGAAGGCCUUUUGGUUGUAAAGCACUUUAAGCGAGGAGGAGGCUACCGAGAUUAAUACUCUUGGAUAGUGGACGUUACUCGCAGAAUAAGCACCGGCUAACUCUGUGCCAGCCGCCGCCGUAAAAC
rnacentral:rRNA from 1 species